rnacentral:misc_RNA from 1 species
GAUGAAGAACGCAGUGAAAUGCGAUAAGUAAUGCGAAUUGCAGAAUUCAGUGAAUCAUCGAAUCUUUGAACGCACAUUGCGCCCCUUGGUAUUCCAUGGGGCAUGCCUGUUCGAGCGUCAUUUGUACCUUCAAGCUUUGCUUGGUGUUGGGUGUUUGUCUCGCCUUUGCGUGUAGACUCGCCUUAAAAUAAUUGGCAGCCGGCGUAUUGAUUUCGGAGCGCAGUACAUCUCGCGCUUUGCACUCAUAACGACAGCGUCCAAAAGUACAUUUUACACUCUUGACCUCGGAUCAGGUAGGGAUACCCGCUGAACUUAAGCAUAUCAAUAAGCGGAGGA